rnacentral:rRNA from 1 species
CCUACGGGAGGCUGCAGUGAGGAAUAUUGGUCAAUGGCCGAGAGGCUGAACCAGCCAAGUCGCGUGAGGGAAGACGGCCCUACGGGUUGUAAACCUCUUUUGUCGGGGAGCAAAGAGAGUCACGUGUGACUCAUUGAGAGUACCCGAAGAAAAAGCAUCGGCUAACUCCGUGCCAGCAGCCGCGGUAAUACGGAGGAUGCGAGCGUUAUCCGGAUUUAUUGGGUUUAAAGGGUGCGCAGGCGGAGGUGCAAGUCCGCGGUCAAAUUGCGGGGCUCAACCCCGUACUGCCGUUGAAACUGCAUCCCUUGAGUGUGCGAGAAGUAUGCGGAAUGCGUGGUGUAGCGGUGAAAUGCAUAGAUAUCACGAAGAACUCCGAUUGCGAAGGCAGCAUACCGGCUCCAUACUGACGCUGAGGCACGAAAGCGUGGGGAUCGAACAGGAUUAGAUACCCGUGUAGUC